rnacentral:tmRNA from 1 species
GGGGGUGAUCGGUUUCGACGUUGAUCGUCAUUCCAGGAGAAGCGGGUCGAGGACGCAGGGUUAACUCGUUAACGAUCCUUGCAAACUAAUAGGUGCCGAUUCCAAUCGCGCCAGCUUCAACCUCGCCGCCUGAGCGAGCUCUGAAGCCGUCAGCCUAGGCUUGCUUUCGGCCUAGUUCCUGACGUCAGCUAGAAAGCUUGCUGGGCGCCCUUGUCGUGGGGGUUGCCCGGGACUCUUACACGACUGGGCCUGUCAGUGAACGUGUGCGUGCGAGCACUGGGGCCGAGAAAAUCCAUAGCGCGCUGCACCCGGAGAAGUCCUGGUUUAUUGUCAGCGGACGCGGGUUCAAUUCCCGCCACCUCCACCA